rnacentral:rRNA from 1 species
GAUGAACGCUGGCGGCGUGCCUAAUACAUGCAAGUAGAACGCUGAAGCUUGGUGCUUGCACCGAGCGGAAGAGUUGCGAACGGGUGAGUAACGCGUAGGUAACCUGCCUCUUAGCGGGGGAUAACUAUUGGAAACGAUAGCUAAUACCGCAUAAAAGUCGAUAUCGCAUGAUAUUGAUUUGAAAGGUGCAAUUGCAUCACUAAGAGAUGGACCUGCGUUGUAUUAGCUAGUUGGUGAGGUAACGGCUCACCAAGGCGACGAUACAUAGCCGACCUGAGAGGGUGAUCGGCCACACUGGGACUGAGACACGGCCCAGACUCCUACGGGAGGCAGCAGUAGGGAAUCUUCGGCAAUGGGGGCAACCCUGACCGAGCAACGCCGCGUGAGUGAAGAAGGUUUUCGGAUCGUAAAGCUCUGUUGUAAGAGAAGAACGAGUGUGAGAGUGGAAAGUUCACACUG